rnacentral:tRNA from 1 species
UCUCUGUUAGUAUAUCGGUUAGUACACGCGCCUGUCAUGAUAUGGCCGCGCGAAAGCGGGGUUCGACUCCCCGACAGAGAG